UGGAAGAAAAAGUCGUAACAAGGUUUCCGUAGGUGAACCUGCGGAAGGAUCAUUACAGAAUGAAAAGUGCUUAACUGCAUUUUUUCUUACACAUGUGUUUUUCUUUUUUUGAAAACUUUGCUUUGGUAGGCCUUCUAUAUGGGGCCUGCCAGAGAUUAAACUCAACCAAAUUUUAUUUAAUGUCAACCGAUUAUUUAAUAGUCAAAACUUUCAACAACGGAUCUCUUGGUUCUCGCAUCGAUGAAGAACGCAGCGAAAUGCGAUAAGUAAUAUGAAUUGCAGAUAUUCGUGAAUCAUCGAAUCUUUGAACGCACAUUGCGCCCUUUGGUAUUCCAAAGGGCAUGCCUGUUUGAGCGUCAUUUCUCCCUCAAACCCUCGGGUUUGGUGUUGAGCGAUACGCUGGGUUUGCUUGAAAGAAAGGCGGAGUAUAAACUAAUGGAUAGGUUUUUUCCACUCAUUGGUACAAACUCCAAAACUUCUUCCAAAUUCGACCUCAAAUCAGGUAGGACUACCCGCUGAACUUAAGCAUAUCAAUAAGGCGGAGGAA
rnacentral:rRNA from 1 species